rnacentral:rRNA from 1 species
UACGUAGGGGGCAAGCGUUGUCCGGAUUUAUUGGGCGUAAAGAGCGUGUAGGCGGCCAUACAGGUCAGCUGUGAAAACUCGAGGCUCAACCUCGAGACGUCGGUUGAAACCGUAUGACUAGAGUCCGGAAGAGGAGAGUGGAAUUCCUGGUGUAGCGGUGAAAUGCGCAGAUAUCAGGAAGAACACCCGUGGCUAAGGCGGCUCUCUAGUACGUGACUGACGCUGAGACGCGAAAGCGUGGGGAGCGAACAGG